GGCUGCAGCGCCGGGAGCGCCCCGCUCUCCGCGCCGGGGGCCGCCGAGCAAUGGGGGCCCGGGGAAAGGGGGCGGGAGCGGUGCCCGGACCCUCCCUGAGCUACCGGCCGCGCCGUCUCCACUCCGGGCAAAAAAAGUGGUAGGAGGGAUGGUGCGAGGAGGGGGCUGUCCCCGGUGCGGAGUGAACGCCGGGCUCACGGAGAAUGGGUAGGACGGGAGCCGUGUGCCAAGGGCUCUACGCCAGCACAGGGGCCACGCAGCCGGGGGUCUCGUCAUCCUCGGGCCCGCGGUGGUCGCGUAAAAAUCAUCGCUGGGCCAAAUGACGCAGAUCUCCGAGCUGUGCCAGGGCGGGUGAGGAGACUUAGUGGGACAACUGGUGAAUAACCCGCAGUUGUCCCUGGGAGAAAUACAUGGACUUCUUCUGUCAUGCAGAGCACUGUUCAAAGCCUUUCAUUAAAAGUUAGUUCUUACUAAUUUAGACUCUCAUUAAAUUUGGUCUGGUAUUAAAAGUUGUAUUACUGCCUGGAAGAAUUUAGGUCUAAACCAAAAGUAUGUGAGGGUUGUGAUCAGAGUGUUAGUUUAAUACUCUUUUUCUUUCCAUUAGCCGCAAUGAAAAUAGGCUAAUUUUCAUUAAAGGAAGAUCUAAAGGAAGAUGCAGAGAAAAAACAAACAAAAAAGCACUCAGUUUUUUUGAUUUUAUAGUUCUCUAAUAAAUUUUUCCCUACUCAGUUUAUUUCUUACAAUAUUUUAUGCAGUCUUAGCCAGUCUAACAAACUGUUACACGCUGCCAGAUCUUUAACAACACGAAACAUACAUCACUAGCAGAAGAAUGUCAAUAUGGUGCUGUAUCAGGAGUUUUGGAUGAGUCCUGCUACACUGUGAGGACUGCCUCUGGCUGUGUGAAGCAUUUUCUCCAAGAGCAUGCUAGGAUGACAAUGGGACUGAAACAUCUUAGGAGCUGGAAAACAGAGAUUCUGUGUACACUGUUCUUUGAAAGUAGAUUCACUAAUUACUUCAUGAUGAGUGAGGCAAAGGCCAGGUUUAAGAGAAUAUGGAGCUGUUCCGUGCAGUUUUCUUUGCUUUAUGGAUGACAGCAGGAAGACACUGACAAAGAUAUAUGUUCGGUGAUAUGCAAUUAUCUUAAGGAAUAAGAAGAUACUGAAAAUGUAUUUCAAGUGCUAUUAAAAAAUAAAAGCUGUAAUAACUAAAAAUGGGUUAUUUUA
rnacentral:lncRNA from 1 species